rnacentral:rRNA from 1 species
GUGGGGAAUAUUGGACAAUGGGCGAAAGCCUGAUCCAGCCAUGCCGCGUGUGUGAAGAAGGUCUUCGGAUUGUAAAGCACUUUAAGUUGGGAGGAAGGGCAGUAAGUUAAUACCUUGCUGUUUUGACGUUACCGACAGAAUAAGCACCGGCUAACUUCGUGCCAGCAGCCGCGGUAAUACGAAGGGUGCAAGCGUUAAUCGGAAUUACUGGGCGUAAAGAGCGCGUAGGUGGUUUUGUAAGUUGGAGGUGAAAUCCCCGGGCUCAACCUGGGAACUGCCUCCAAAACUGCAUGACUAGAGUACGGUAGAGGGUAGUGGAAUUUCCUGUGUAGCGGUGAAAUGCGUAGAUAUAGGAAGGAACACCAGUGGCGAAGGCGACUACCUGGACUGAUACUGACACUGAGGUGCGAAAGCGUGGGGAGCAAACAGGAUUAGAUACCCUUGUAGUCC